AUCUACAGUCCUUACUGAGAUUACACAAGAGGAAAUGAUGAGGCAUUUUUUUUUUCCUGAAUGUUGAAACUAGUCUCUUUGUCCAUACACACCGGCACCGACAGAAAGAAUGCUUUGAAGAAAUUCCUCAAAGGUAAAAGGGAGUAUCUGGAAACUCGUGAAUCUUUUGGGCAUUGUCACGUCUUCGAUAUUUGGACUUGGACAAAUGUAUGAAAGUAUGACAAACAAACCAGUGGCCAGAGCGCACAGAUACCACCAACAUGUCACCUUGUAUCAAGGAUCCAUACACAGCUUUAUCAAAGAGUUCAUUUUGUCAUGUUCCAAGUACAUAUAUUUGAAAAGAAUGAAGUUAUCUGACAUUUGGGACACAACCAACAUGGGAAAUGUGGCCAUUUGGAUUACAGCGGAUGGACGAAAAGGAGGAAAAGUAGGAAGGACGAGGGAAGGAAGAAGAGGAACAGCAGGAGCAAGAAGAUUAUUGAAAGCACAGGAGAUCACUUAGAAGUAAUACGGAAUUAAGCAAUGGAUAUGAAAGAAGAGAGAUAAACAAUCACACCCAGAGUGACUUCCCACUCUUCAUUGUCUCAUGCAAAGGAAAGACAUUCUUUGGGUGAGAUCCUUCCAAAGCAAACAUCCUGAGCACCUAGGCAUCCCACUUGUGGAUCACAGUAGCCAGCAGGCUGACUCACUUAUAUUCAUGCAACUCCCUGGGGCCAGUGAAUUACACUGAGAAUAUUCUAGGCAGCCACAUUGCUGGGGAUGAAAAGGUGGGGAAGUAGAGGGUUACCCAAAUGGUAACUUUCUAGAAAGCUAGUUCUAAGAAUGUUUCUUGAUAUACUGAGAACUAGUAUGUCAGUAUUCUAGCAGGAUCUUUUCUACCAGUAGCUUAUGUGCUUAUAGAGCAAGGGAAUUAAAAUGCAGUGGUUUUAGGUGAAAGUGUUAAUGUCAGGCAGUCUGCAAAAAUUCAGUACUUUUCAAGCUUAUUUGCCCUGUACUAUAAUCUAAACUACCUGCCCUACCAUCUGUUUUUGUUCUGUAAAUAACUGUUCCCAAUCCAACUGCCUACUGAAUAACAAGCCAGUGAUUCAGUUAAUAAUUAUAAACCUUAACAAUUCAACAAGUAACCGCAUACAAAGAAACUAGAUAUCACAUGUCUGAAUAUUUGAUAGUCAUGCAAGACAGAAAAUGGGGCUUCUGGAACACCAGUCAUGUUGGGAACUGUUGGGGAAGGGGCAGGGCGGGGUAGAUUGUUAGGUUUUGAAUGAAACUUUGCCUUAACGGUUCCAGUUCAAUCUUUCCCACACAAGCUCCUGCCCACAUCUCAUAGAAGUAUUAUAUCUGUUCACUUCCUUGUACUUUGCUCCAAGAAUUAGUGAGUCAUGGUUUAAACACAAAUUCUUAACAUAGGUGCUACAGGCAAACAAAGGAAACCCAAACGCCUCAUUCUUCUAUUUCUUCUUUAAAAGGAAACUCAUGCUGGAGGCAUUUGUGUAACAUUCCUUUUACAUAACAGCAAGAACUUCAUCUGAGGAAAGAAACAGUGCAGCUGUAGGAAGCAGUAGGUGGGGGGUUGCUCUUCGCUGAUCUAUGACCCUUCCUGGCCUUCGCUGUUCAUAAUGCGAUACAACAAUUCCUGGGCCAACCCAGAAUGUGAAGGUAGGACAUAGAAAGGGGGCACACAAGAGAGGCAGCAUACUUGUCCAGUGCUAGGAAAUGAUGAGGUAGUCUCUUUAAAUGUGUAGGCAGCUCAGUUAGAUGAGCUGGGGUUAUAUCCUUUUCUGAUCUGAUGUUUAUUGGCUGUGUGACUCUGGCAAUAUAGGGAAGUAUGGCUGGGAGUUAUCGCACCAUUGACAAAAUCAGGAAAAUAACAAAAAGUAAUAUAUAAUUUAUCUUUAACUGUGUCUGAUACACAGAUUCACCGAACCCUAUAGACUCCAGUUCAGUCUUCUCCUGCAAGACUAGAAACUGAUUUUCUUUGUUUUGGUUUUUGGUUUUGUUGUUGCUGUUUGUUGCUUUGUUUUGUUUUCGUUUUGCCCUGGUAUUUGAGACUGGAGAAGAACUCACAGGACUGUUCUAGAACCAGGAGAGAUGAGCUUGUCUCACCCAGAGCUCACACCUGAGACCUCAGAGCAAACCACACAUUAACUACUGUGUGGCCAGAGAAGGGAAGUAUGCACAUCCCCCUCCUUAUAAUUUUUCUGUAUCUCAGAAUGUGGAAAGGUUUUCUGUACUAUCUGAGAUAGCUUAUAUUAAUCCAUUAACCUAUCAAUGUCCUGGAUAGAUUUGGUGGUUGCCAUUUCACACUGGCUGUGUGCUGGAUGGAAUGUGAGACAUAGACAAAUGGUGCUCAUAUGAAAGGUGUUCCACUCUGCUCCUGUUGAACAGCAUUGUCUAAUUCCAGCAAGAGUGCCACAGUUAACUUAUUUAACAGUCUUUUUGAAGAGAUAUGUUGGACCUUCCUGUUAUUUCUCUUAUGCCACUUUCUGAUUCAGGAUAUUUACCUUUUGUGUGUAUCUGUCCUCUGUGUUCCCUCCUGCUUUGCUUCUGAGUUUGCUUCCCCACAUCUUAACUGGAACCACUCACUUUGUUGCUGUGAGACAGUUUUUCCUAGUGACAUCAGCACCUACAUUCAAAAGGUCUAACCAACCUGACUGUCUGAUGUGAAAUGAACAAGGAUGAACAAGGAUGAUAGCAAUGAACUUCCGAAGUGGAUGGAGUCCAUGAGGUCUCUACCCUAAACAAGGAACUAUUGAUACGUGAGGAACACUAGGAGUGAAAGAGAUGCUCUUCCCCAGGGAGGAGCACACUGAUUGGUUAUCUGACACCAACUGAUCAACCCUAAAAACAUAUAUAAAAGUAAUAUUGUACAUAUUGAACAGGGUAUAUUUAGGAAUAUUUCUGUAUAUAUGUGAGUGUAUAUGUAUGUUUAUGUCUGUAUAUGUAUAUGUCUGUACAUAAUAAAAGUAUGUGUAUAUAUGCAUGUAUAUAUGCAUGCAACAAUUAAUGAAAAAAGUCGUGAAUUUAAAGACUUGGGAGAUAUGGAAGGAGGAAAAAGGAGAAAUGUUAAAUUGUAUUAUAAUAUUAAAAAUCCAAACAAUAUUUAUUCAUAGAAAAAGCAAUAGAAAAUUCACACAAUAUGUUUCUCUCUGGUUAUACAUUUGGACCCAAUAGAUUGUGAUAACAAUUGUCUUUCCACUAAUUCCAAAAUUUAAUUUCUAUUUUUAACUUAUUAUUGCUCCAUUUUUCCAAUACUUAACUUAAAAAAACCCUGCUACCUUAAUUUAUCGGAUGCCUAGUUUUCUGGGUUUACAGAAAAUAAUAACAUUAAAAAUUUUCACCUAGGAGAAUUCUUCAUGGGGCUGUUUUGGCUGUGCUUUGUGACCAAAUACUAGGAUUUACAGCUGUCUGUUGGAUGAAAGGGAAUAAUAUCAUCUAUCCAAAUGCUUCUCACAUAUUUAAAAAUGUAUUAUUUUGUCUAUUGUGUAGAUGUAUGUUUAUGUGUGCAUGUUAAUAUGCACGUAUGGGUACAUACAAACUCAUGUUUGUGGACAUGUGGCUGCACAUGCUACAGGAUACUUUUGGAGAUUAGAGGACAACCUCAAAUGUUAUCCCUUCUCUUCCUUUUGGUUUGAGACAGUUUGCCUGUAUUUCACCCCUGGCCUGCCAGACUAGAAGCCUGCAAUCCUAUGGUGAUUUUGCUGUCCCCAUCUCUUAUUUCAUUGUGGGAUCAAUAGUUUUAUACAAAGCAUGUUUCCAUUCUCAGCUCCACAUGGUUUCGGAGGAUUUGAAUUCAGUUUCUGAAACCUGCCUUAACCACUGAACUGUCUCCACAAUCUCAGGGACGCUUCUUUAAAUCACUCACAUUAACAACAUCCCUUAAAAUUCUUUUGCCGAUUCUUCUGUGACAUUCUGAUUUGGGUAUCUAUAUAGAUUUUCCUUACAUGGAAAGAAUGGAUGGUCUUCUUUUGGGAGCAGAAAACCCUCUGACAUGUCUUAAUAAAUUGUUUACCUUUAUGCUACAUAACAGGCUCUGACUAGAUGCUUUGGAUUUUUUAAUUCUUCCUUUCUUAGUUGAUUUAGGCCCUAAGCUUUGCUGUGCAGUCAUAAAGUAGCAGUCAUUUCACACACCCUGCAGAGUUAUAAAACUGUAUAAUGCGAUAUCCACUGCAAAGCUCCAGCAUACCAGCUCCUACACAGUAGACAAUACCCCAUUCUAGUGCUCUUCCUUCCUGCCCUCUAAGCUAUCUAUGUCCUUGCCCCAAGAAUACAAUGUUGGGUGUGGAAAAAAUGUUGUCCUGAUUGCUAUUUACAGCACUUCCAGACCAGAACCCCAGGAUUCUUCUGUAUUGUUGACCACUGACCUGUGCAUUCGAAAGAAGCUCUAAGGACAUAAGAUACUAUCUAGAGAUACAAGAGAAUAAAAGCACUGCUUGAGCUUGGGUGAUUUGUAUGUGAGAAGUUCAUUCCCUCUGUGUUGAGAUAGAAUGGCUUUGUGUACAGGUGAUUGGACCCUGCCUUGUGAAUGGAUUAAUGCCCUUAUUGCAAGAGAGCCUUAGUCAUUCAGGGAGGGGUUCCUAUGGAAAGCCUGAGGUUGGAUCCUUUCCUUCCCUAACAUGUUUGUACCUCUGCAUAGGCUUCUAUUUUCUGCCAUGGUAGGAUACAGCAAGCAGACCCUCACCAUAUGAUAUGGCUCCUUGACCUUGGACUUCCCUACUUCCAGGAGUAUAAGAAGUGACUCUCUGUCACUUACAAUUGCCCAGUUGCAGGCAUUCCAUUAAGGCAGUACAAAGUGGAAUAAAACAAAUACAACUGUAGGCAACUAGUUCCAAACUGGAUCAAAGGGUGGCUUGUGAAAUAAUGCAGUCAUUGUUCUCUUAGUAUUACUCCAAUAAGCCAAGGAUGCACUGGUGUAUCAGAGGUAGGCAUGGAUUUUUGGAUUUCCCCUUUUACACAAAGGAGAUGACACAGGUAUGAAGUUCCAGGCACCUUGCCCAUCUUUUGUAAUCUGUUCUUUCUCUCUCUCUGAUGCUGACUUCAGAUUCAAUCUCUGCUGUUCCCUAGCUUAAAGUACUGGUGCUUCC